rnacentral:siRNA from 1 species
GAGCUCUAAUCUAAGAUUUGAUCG